rnacentral:rRNA from 1 species
UGGGGAAUCUUGCACAAUGGGGGCAACCCUGAUGCAGCGACGCCGCGUGAGCGAUGAAGCCCUUCGGGGCGUAAAGCUCUUUCGACCGGAACGAUAAUGACGGUACCGGGAGAAGAAGCUGCGGCUAACUACGUGCCAGCAGCCGCGGUAAUACGUAGGCAGCAAGCGUUGUUCGGAGUUACUGGGCGUAAAGAGUGCGUAGGCGGUUUUCUAAGUUCGGUGUGAAAUCUCCCGGCUUAACUGGGAGGGUGCGCCGAAGACUGGGAAGCUGGAGUGUGGGAAAGGCAGGCGGAAUUCCUGGUGUAGCGGUGAAAGGAGUAGAUAUCAGGAGGACCACCGGCGGUGUAGACGGCUUGCUAGACCAUAACUGACGCUGAGGCACGAAAGCGUGGGUAGCAAACA